AUACCAGCCCCGCAGCGGUGGCUUCCUUAUCUCGGAGAGGAAACCGAGGACUGGAAAGGGCCUUUAAGUGGCUUAGGGGCGUGGGGGAGACAGCGUGGCUUCCUCCACACCGAUGCGUGGUCACCACAGACCUCUCCGGGACACGCACGUGGGUCAGGCCCCGGUCACUUGACGACAGGGCCUCAUCGCUUCGGACAGUUGGGGUCCGGCUCACCCUUCUCCACGACCCCUCACUCCGCCCCAGAGCCAGAUCGCCCCGCCCCGCGGCCGCCUAACGAGGCCCAUCCGGACCUCCGCCUGACCCAUUCGCCACGCCCCACUCCCUGCCUGCCCAGCCACACGACCGGAUAAGUCCCGCCCCACGGCCAAUUCGCCCCUCCCCACGGCCAGUUCACCCGCCCCACGGCCAGCGCGCCCUGUCUCAAGGCCAGUUCGCUCCCACGUGCUUCUAACCCUCCCGGACUUCAAGAGGAAGGACCCGCAGCUGGCAUCUCCCCGACUAAGUACGUGCACCAGCUCACUCGAGGGUGUAUCUCUUUCUUUUGCGACAGAGUCCGACGACGUAACUGAUGCCCUUCAGCUUCGCGAUCCUUCUGCAUCGGCCUCGCGGUCGCUGGGGUUACGGGCACGCGUCACCACGCUCUACAAGGCUGGAUUCUUAAAAACCAGCUGUGUGAGAGUUUUCCACUCCAAAAGGAGGGUUAAAGGCCAUUGUUGCUAAAAUCCACCUCCACCGGUAUCUUAAAAUAAUACAGUAACCCAGAAAAGAAAAGGGGAAGGAGAAGGGUUUGAGAGAGGCAAGGGUUGCCAGCCCAAAUAAAGCAGAAAUGCAGAAA